GGGGCCAUAGCUCAGCUGGGAGAGCGCCUGCCUUGCAAGCAGGGGGUCAGGAGUUCGAUCCUCCUUGGUUCCACCA
rnacentral:tRNA from 1 species